rnacentral:rRNA from 1 species
ACAUGCAGUCGACGAUGACCAGGAGCUUGCUCUUGGGGAUUAGUGGCGAACGGGUGAGUAACACGUGAGUAACCUGCCCUUGACUCUGGGAUAACCUCCGGAAACGGAAGCUAAUACCGGAUACGAACUGCGAAGGCAUCUUCAGCAGUUGGAAAGAACUUCGGUCAAGGAUGGACUCGCGGCCUAUCAGGUAGUUGGUGAGGUAACGGCUCACCAAGCCUACGACGGGUAGCCGGCCUGAGAGGGUGACCGGCCACACUGGGACUGAGACACGGCCCAGACUCCUACGGGAGGCAGCAGUGGGGAAUAUUGCACAAUGGGCGCAAGCCUGAUGCAGCAACGCCGCGUGAGGGAUGACGGCCUUCGGGUUGUAAACCUCUUUUAGUAGGGAAGAAGCGAAAGUGACGGUACCUGCAGAAAAAGCACCGGCUAACUACGUGCCAGCAGCCGCGGUAAUACGUAGGGUGCGAGCGUUGUCCGGAAUUAUUGGGCGUAAAGAGCUCGUAGGCGGUCUGUCGCGUCUGCUGUGAAAACCCGAGGCUCAACCUCGGGCCUGCAGUGGGUACGGGCAGACUAGAGUGCGGUAGGGGAGAAUGGAAUUCCUGGUGUAGCGGUGGAAUGCGCAGAUAUCAGGAGGAACACCGAUGGCGAAGGCAGUUCUCUGGGCCGUAACUGACGCUGAGGAGCGAAAGCGUGGGGAGCGAACAGGAUUAGAUACCCUGGUAGUCCACGCCGUAAACGUUGGGCGCUAGAUGUGGGGGACCAUUCCACGGUUUCCGUGUCGCAGCUAACGCAUUAAGCGCCCCGCCUGGGGG